rnacentral:rRNA from 1 species
CCGUAACUAUAACGGUCCUAAGGUAGCGAAAUUCCUUGUCGGGUAAGUUCCGACCUGCACGAAUGGCGUAAUGAUGGCCAGGCUGUCUCCACCCGAGACUCAGUGAAAUUGAACUCGCUGUGAAGAUGCAGUGUACCCGCGGCAAGACGGAAAGACCCCGUGAACCUUUACUAUAGCUUGACACUGAACAUUGAGCCUUGAUGUGUAGGAUAGGUGGGAGGCUUUGAAGCGUGGACGCCAGUCUGCGUGGAGCCAACCUUGAAAUACCACCCUUUAAUGUUUGAUGUUCUAACCUGGCGCCGUGAUCCGGCGUGGGGACAGUGUCUGGUGGGUAGUUUGACUGGGGCGGUCUCCUCCUAAAGAGUAACGGAGGAGCACGAAGGUUGGCUAAUCCUGGUCGGACAUCAGGAGGUUAGUGCAAUGGCAUAAGCCAGCUUGACUGCGAGCGUGACGGCGCGAGCAGGUGCGAAAGCAGGUCAUAGUGAUCCGGUGGUUCUGAAUGGAAGGGCCAUCGCUCAACGGAUAAAAGGUACUCCGGGGAUAACAGGCUGAUACCGCCCAAGAGUUCAUAUCGACGGCGGUGUUUGGCACCUCGAUGUCGGCUCAUCACAUCCUGGGGCUGAAGUAGGUCCCAAGGGUAUGGCUGUUCGCCAUUUAAAGUGGUACGCGAGCUGGGUUUAGAACGUCGUGAGACAGUUCGGUCCCUAUCUGCCGUGGGCGCUGGAGAAUUGAGGGGGGCUGCUCCUAGUACGAGAGGACCGGAGUGGACGCAUCACUGGUGUUCGGGUUGUCAUGCCAAUGGCAUUGCCCGGUAGCUACAUGCGGAAGAGAUAAGUGCUGAAAGCAUCUAAGCACGAAACUUGCCCCGAGAUGAGUUCUCCCUGAGACUUAGAGUCUCCUGAAGGAACGUUGAAGACGACGACGUUGAUAGGCCGGGUGUGUAAGCGCAGCGAUGCGUUGAGCUAACCGGUACUAAUGAACCGUGAGGCUUAACCUU